GUGCACCAGUCGAGAAUAGUCUACAAUGGACGAAAGUCUGAUAGUGCGACGCCGUGUGUGCGAUUAAUUCCUUCGGGAUGUAAAGCACUUUUCUAUGAGAUAAAAGCUCUUUAGGUUAAUAGCUUAUUGAGACGGAUAUUAUUAUAGGAAUAAGCUCCGGCUAACUCCGUGCCAGCAGCCGCGGUAAUACGGAAGGAGCGAGCGUUGUCCGGAUUUACUAGGCGUAAAGGGCUAGUAGGCGACUAAUUAAGUUAUAUGUUAAAUCCCACGGCUCAACUGUGGUCCUGCAUGUAAUACUGGUUAGAUAGAGUACUGUAGAGGAAGGCAGAAUUCCUGGAGUAGCGGUGGAAUGCGCAGGUAUCAGGAAGAAUACCAAAAGCGAAGGCAGCCUUCUGGGCAGUUACUGACGCUGAAUAGCGAAGGUGUGGGUAGCGAACAGGAUUAGAUA
rnacentral:rRNA from 1 species